AAAAGGCUAAGGCUAGAGAAAAAAAAGAAAGAAAAAAGAAAAAGCAAGAAAAAAAAAAAAACUAGAACAGCUGGGUCCGACCCGACCCGUUCCACUGAACCCGUACUACCGACCCAAUACCAGCAGACCCAGUGGGCCCAAUAGCCCAGAUCCAGCAGUAGCAGGCCCAAUACCAUCAGCAACAGACCCAACACCAAAGGCUGCCCAAAGCGAAAAAAGCAAAGAGGCCCAUUUUGCCUUGGAUCAAACCCAUAACUUUGGGGCUUUUGGUAUCUUAUUAGGAAAGUGUUGAUUAGAGAUUGGUUACCAAAAAGGGUUUCUGAUAGAGGAGUCAAUUAUGCAAGUAACCGAGAAGAAUGUUGUAGUUCAAGACUGGUCUUUAAGGACCUAGAAAGUAAAAGGUGAUAGUUUAAAGAAAGGAUAUAUCUCCAAUCUUCUCGGGCAUGUGAUUUCGAAUGCUCGUCAGAAUGACCUCGAAAACUUGACUAGGAUCUGGAAUCUGUGAGACUCAGACACUAGAGGCAUCUUCACUAAAAAGUAUGAGGAUAUAGCUCACUUGAUAACAAUCAAUGUGGACGAGCAGUUGAUUCAAACCAUGGUUCGAUUUUAGGACCUAGCCUACCAGUGUUUCACUUUCAAUCAGGAAGACGUGACUCCGACCAUAGAGAAGUAUGCCGCCCUACUUUGCAUUGACAAUGUUCAACUCAACAAGAUAUAUGUGAAAGAGUCUAAACCGAUGACCUUCAAGAAAAAGCUAAUAAAGCUGACAGGGAUGACUGAUACAUGGGCUGAAAAACAGAUAAGGAAGAAGAAUGAAUUCAGUUGUGUUCCAUGGUUUUCUCUUCGAGAUUUAGUUCAAAAUCAUCCAGAUAUUUUGAAUAGAGUGGAUCUGUUUGCUUUGGCCAUUUAUGGACUAAUCGUCUUCCCAAAAGUUCUUGGGCACAAAGAAGUUGUGGUAGUGGAUUUUUUAGAAAAUUUGAGGCAAGAAAUCAACCCUGUCCUGACCAUCUUGGCCGAGACUUUUAGAUCUCUAAAUAGUUGUAGGAAGAAAGGGGAAUGACGUUUUAUCGGAUGCGCUCAGUUACUUAAUGCUUGGAUUUUUAGCCACUUUUGGAAAGUGAAGCACAUACCUUUCCAUAUGUUUUCAAUGACAUUUGCUCUGUUAGCAGCAUACCUUGAAAAAGAUUGGUCAAAGAAUGUCACUGAACAGCACUGGAUUUUAAUUUUUCAGAACCUCUGUGCCAAGGAUAUAACUUGGAGAGCACCUUGGAUCUGUCUUUCUGUCCUGUUAUACAAGUGUGGAAACCAAGAUUGGGUGUCUUUACUAGGAUUAUGGGGAUGAGUUAGAUAUGCUCCGUUGAUGGUUCAAAGAUAGUUCGCUUCGUGACAAUUCAUACCAGCUACCGGUGGAUUGGCACAAUCUGAGUUUGCCUUUACGGGUAAGGGUUACAUGAAAAAGGUUCGAGAUACUGUAAAUUCUUGGAGGGAAAUCUACCUAAUGGAUUUAGCUCUUUAUGCUGAUACUUUUACUCUAGAUUAUGACAUAUAGAGACAACGACAAGUGGAGAAUCAACUAAUCUCGUCGACUGAUUAUGCUUUCCAGAAUCUGUUCUCAGAAGAAGCACCGUCCGAGCUGGAGAUGGCAAGACAUGAACUUGAACGCGAAAAAGCCAAGCUAUUACGAGAUAUUAGUUCUUUUCAGGAGGAAAACUACAAGCUGCAAAUUGAUGUUCAAAUUGAAAAAUCCAGAACCGAGAAAGUCUAAAAAGAAGUUGAGAUCACGAGAAAGGAUUUAAGGGAUCUUCAUUUGGAAAAUAAGAAAUUACGAGGCAUUAUAAGAAAUAGUGGACUGGGCAAAUCAUCUGCAGAAUAGAAGGAAGAAAUAAGCAACAUCAAAGGUGGGAUGGAGUUCUAGAGAGGGAAAGUAAAGAAGGAAGAAGAAAAAGCUGCACGUGCUAUGAUAGAGUCAAGGAAGAAGAAUGUUGAAUACGAAACCAUGUCUGCAGAAUUAAUGACUAGCCAGCCUGGGUGUCAAGAGCUAAAAGGAAAGAUACGAGAUUUAGAAAAUACGCUGUAAGCUCAUCAGCAACAUUUGGAUGACCUCCUAAAAGAAGAGAAGAACGGUCAGCAUAAUAGAAAAAUUCAUGCCUACAAAAUAGCCCUCCAAGAAAAUGAUAUGCAUAUUGGUAGUUUGGUCAAUGAAAUUCGCAAGGCGGUUGUGCAAAUAGUGUAAUUAUCGGAUGAAGUAGAAGUUCUCAGUUGCCAAUUCCCUCCAAGUCAAAUAUCGAGCAUGUCGGAGUUCCUAGAACGUGUAAGGAAACAAGGAGAUGUGGCUAGGAAAUUUGUGUAACUGUUAAAUCAGAGAUGGAAAAACGUUUUGUAAUUGACUCUUUUGAUUAAUGAAACACCCAAGUAUGGGGCUAUCUUGAAAUCAA